AUUGAACGCUGGCGGCAUGCCUUACACAUGCAAGUCGAACGGCAGCACGGGAGCAAUCCUGGUGGCGAGUGGCGAACGGGUGAGUAAUAUAUCGGAACGUGCCCAGUCGUGGGGAUAACGUAGCGAAAGCUACGCUAAUACCGCAUACGAUCUACGGAUGAAAGCGGGGGAUCGCAAGACCUCGCGCGAUUGGAGCGGCCGAUAUCAGAUUAGGUAGUUGGUGAGGUAAAGGCUCACCAAGCCGACGAUCUGUAGCUGGUCUGAGAGGACGACCAGCCACACUGGGACUGAGACACGGCCCAGACUCCUACGGGAGACAGCAGUGGGGAAUUUUGGACAAUGGGCGCAAGCCUGAUCCAGCAAUGCCGCGUGCAGGAUGAAGGCC
rnacentral:rRNA from 1 species